CAGUCGCCGCGGUAAUACGGAGGGUGCGAGCGUUGUCCGGAUUUAUUGGGCGUAAAGCGAGCGCAGGCGGUUAGAUAAGUCUGAAGUUAAAGGCUGUGGCUUAACCAUAGUACGCUUUGGAAACUGUUUAACUUGAGUGCAGAAGAGGAGAGUGGAAUUCCACGUGUAGCGGUGAAAUGCGUAGAGAUGUGGAGGAACACCAGUGGCGAAGGCGACUCUCUGGUCUGUAACUGACGCUGAGGAGCGAAAGCGUGGGGAGCGAACAGGAUUAGAUACCCCCGUAGUCCAUGUCUCUUAUCAC
rnacentral:rRNA from 1 species